rnacentral:rRNA from 1 species
UACGAAGGGGGCUAGCGUUGUUCGGAUUUACUGGGCGUAAAGCGCACGUAGGCGGAUCGUUAAGUCGGGGGUGAAAUCCUGGAGCUCAACUCCAGAACUGCCUUCGAUACUGGCGAUCUUGAGUCCGGAAGAGGUGAGUGGAACUCCUAGUGUAGAGGUGAAAUUCGUAGAUAUUGGGAAGAACACCGGUGGCGAAGGCGGCUCACUGGCUCAUUGCUGACGCUCAGGCGCGAUAGCGUGGGGAUCAAACAGG